ACGAACGCUGGCGGCGUGCCUAAUACAUGCAAGUCGAACGAAACUUUCUUACACCGAAUGCUUGCAUUCACCGUAAGAAGUUGAGUGGCGGACGGGUGAGUAACACGUGGGUAACCUGCCUAAAAGAAGGGGAUAACACUUGGAAACAGGUGCUAAUACCGUAUAUCUCUAAGGAUCGCAUGAUCCUUAGAUGAAAGAUGGUUCUGCUAUCGCUUUUAGAUGGACCCGCGGCGUAUUAACUAGUUGGUGGGGUAACGGCCUACCAAGGUGAUGAUACGUAGCCGAACUGAGAGGUUGAUCGGCCACAUUGGGACUGAGACACGGCCCAAACUCCUACGGGAGGCAGCAGUAGGGAAUCUUCCACAAUGGACGCAAGUCUGAUGGAGCAACGCCGCGUGAGUGAAGAAGGUCUUCGGAUCGUAAAACUCUGUUGUUAGAGAAGAACACGAGUGAGAGUAACUGUUCAUUCGAUGACGGUAUCUAACCAGCAAGUCACGGCUAACUACGUGCCAGCAGCCGCGGUAAUACGUAGGUGGCAAGCGUUGUCCGGAUUUAUUGGGCGUAAAGGGAACGCAGGCGGUCUUUUAAGUCUGAUGUGAAAGCCUUCGGCUUAACCGGAGUAGUGCAUUGGAAACUGGAAGACUUGAGUGCAGAAGAGGAGAGUGGAACUCCAUGUGUAGCGGUGAAAUGCGUAGAUAUAUGGAAGAACACCAGUGGCGAAAGCGGCUCUCUGGUCUGUAACUGACGCUGAGGUUCGAAAGCGUGGGUAGCAAACAGGAUUAGAUACCCUGGUAGUCCACGCCGUAAACGAUGAAUGCUAGGUGUUGGAGGGUUUCCGCCCUUCAGUGCCGCAGCUAACGCAAUAAGCAUUCCGCCUGGGGAGUACGACCGCAAGGUUGAAACUCAAAGGAAUUGACGGGGGCCCGCACAAGCGGUGGAGCAUGUGGUUUAAUUCGAAGCAACGCGAAGAACCUUACCAAAUCUUGACAUCGAUCUGACCGGACUGUAAUGAGUCCUUUCCCUUCGGGGACAGAGAAGACAGGUGGUGCAUGGUUGUCGUCAGCUCGUGUCGUGAGAUGUUGGGUUAAGUCCCGCAACGAGCGCAACCCUUGUUGUCAGUUGCCAGCAUUAAGUUGGGCACUCUGGCGAGACUGCCGGUGACAAACCGGAGGAAGGUGGGGACGACGUCAAGUCAUCAUGCCCCUUAUGACCUGGGCUACACACGUGCUACAAUGGACGGUACAACGAGUCGCGAGACCGCGAGGUUUAGCUAAUCUCUUAAAGCCGUUCUCAGUUCGGAUUGUAGGCUGCAACUCGCCUACAUGAAGUCGGAAUCGCUAGUAAUCGCGAAUCAGCAUGUCGCGGUGAAUACGUUCCCGGGCCUUGUACACACCGCCCGUCACACCAUGGGAGUUGGGAAUGCCCGAAGCCAGUGACCUAACCGAAAGGAAGGAGCUGUCGAAGGCAGGCUCGAUAACUGGGGUG
rnacentral:rRNA from 1 species